UACGGGGGGAGCAAGCGUUGUUCGGAUUUACUGGGCGUAAAGGGCGCGUAGGCGGCACUGCAAGUCAGUUGUGAAAUCUCCGGGCUUAACCCGGAAAGGUCAACUGAUACUGCAGGGCUAGAGUGCAGAAGGGGCAACUGGAAUUCUCGGUAUAGCGGUGAAAUGCGUAGAUAUCGAGAGGAACACCUGCGGCGAAGGCGGGUUGCUGGGCUGACACUGACGCUGAGGCGCGAAAGCCAGGGGAGCGAACGGG
rnacentral:rRNA from 1 species